GAUGAACGCUGGCGGCGUGCUUAACACAUGCAAGUCGAGCGAAGCAUUUUAAAGGAAGUUUUCGGAUGGAAUUUAAGAUGACUUAGCGGCGGACGGGUGAGUAACGCGUGGGUAACCUGCCUCAUACAGGGGGAUAACAGUUAGAAAUGACUGCUAAUACCGCAUAAGCGCACAGUGCUGCAUAGUACAGUGUGAAAAACUCCGGUGGUAUGAGAUGGACCCGCGUCUGAUUAGGUAGUUGGUGAGGUAACGGCCCACCAAGCCGACGAUCAGUAGCCGACCUGAGAGGGUGACCGGCCACAUUGGGACCGGGACACGGCCCAAACUCCUACGGGAGGCAGCAGUGGGGAAUAUUGGACAAUGGGGGAAACCCUGAUCCAGCGACGCCGCGUGAGUGAAGAAGUAUUUCGGUAUGUAAAGCCCUAUCAGCAGGGAGGAAAAUGACGGUACCUGACUAAGAAGCCCCGGCUAACUACGUGCCAGCAGCCGCAGUAA
rnacentral:rRNA from 1 species